GUUGUUAAACGAGCCCGCAUACCCGCCCCGCAAAAUUAGAGUUUGCGGCAGAUGUGGCCCAACAGCUAGUUCUUCGUGGGCUUGCGUUAAACAGCUUACCAAACCCGCGGACAAGAGGGUACGUCCGCAAGGACCCGCAAGAACCCACCAGCCCGGGACCUCCUCGUCUCACAUCUCUCCCACUCCCGAGACCUUCGUCGCCACCGCCACCUCCGCCGCCGCCGCCGAAAUCCGCCUCCACCCUCGCCGGGACCGGAGCACCGAGGACAGCAACGAGGCAAGCGUCAGGUACACCAGCACCUCUCCUUCCCCCAGCCCCGAGCUGCCCCUCAUGCUCUGUUAAGUUGGGCAGAUCGGAGAUCUGUGCUAGGUCUUGGAUCUAGCCGGAUCUAUGUGAACUCCGCCUAGGUAUCAAGCUGCAUCUGCUUCAGGGGCUCUAGCUGCUUAAUUGCGAUCUUUGUGCUGACCGUCGGCUUGGCUGUGACCUACACUGACAUGAGAUGCGAGAGGAGGAACACCAGCUGGCUUCCUGUACAUGGAUGUGUUGUUCUAUGAAUACACCUGCUCAUUUGAUCCUACUUAUAUCGGUUGAGUGAAAUUAAGAAAUCAAUUAUGCAUAUAAUAAUGUUACUAAAUAAUAGAUACCAUGUUUACCAAUUGUGGAUAACAACGUUUAGCUUCUAGUUUUGUUAUAUGGUUCAGAUGUCGGUAGCAGUACAAAACUUAAGUAUGCAGAGCUCAAGGUUUAUGUUCACUAUUUGUUUAUGACAAUUGUUUUUGGUCUUGCUAGGCUUAACCUGCCUUUAUUCUUGCUUGAUAAAAUCUCUAGGUGUAACCGUGCUAAUGGCUAUGCAGAGUUCAAGUUUUUUCCUCAUGUAGCAGCAACAAGAGAUGCUAUUAGAAGGCCCCAUGAGGUAUCAAGUUCACACUGGAAGAAGCUAGCCGUUUAUUGGAAGAAGCUACCAGUUCUUGUUUAUUCAUGCUGAUGUAACAUAAUUCUAAUUUGAAUUCGAUUGAUGAUAGAAAACAUGGUUGUUCUGAGUAUGAAUGCGCCUUUUGACUUUUA